GGGCUAGUAGCUUAGAUGGUAGAGCACAGCCAUGGUAUGGGGUAUGCCAAUACCCUAGAGGUCCCGGGUUCGAUCCCCGGCUGGUCCG